rnacentral:lncRNA from 1 species
UCCAUCUUCAAAAUCAAACUUCACUACAACACUAUUAAAUUUGGUGAUAAUAUUUUUUAACGGUUUCUGAAGGUAAUUACAAUAAAACCAGCUCCACUCUUACAAUAAUUAGCUCUAAAAACUUCGUCCUCGCCUAUAGGUAAAUUUUUUCCUAAAUGGGGUCAAUUUGGAUUUCAUUUUUUUAUUAUUUAAUUUGAUUUUGUUUGAGUAAGAAGUUACCGUUGGAUAUGAGUUUCCUUUCUCUAAGCGUGAUCAUUUUGAUAAGAAUAGAAAAGCGUGCGAGGAGAAGAGAAGAAAUACUUAUGGCAUCAUUGA